UACGGAGGGUGCGAGCGUUGUCCGGAAUCAUUGGGCGUAAAGGGCGCGUAGGUGGCGGGACAAGCGUGCGGUGAAAGCUCGGGGGCUCAACCCCGAGUCGGCCGUGCGAACUGUCUUGCUGGAGCACUGUAGAGGCAGGCGGAAUUCCGGGUGUAGCGGUGGAAUGCGUAGAGAUCCGGAAGAACACCGGUGGCGAAGGCGGCCUGCUGGGCAGUUGCUGACACUGAGGCGCGACAGCGUGGGGAGCAAACAGG
rnacentral:rRNA from 1 species